CAAGGCUGAAACUUAAAGGAAUUGGCGGGGGAGCCCCGCACCCUGGAGGAUUGUGCGGUUUAAUUGGAUUCAACGCCGNAAAACUCACCAGUGCCGACGGACAGAUGAAAGCCAGUGUGAUGAGCUUGCUGGAUUGUUCGAGAGGUAGUGCAUGGCCGCCGUCAGUUCGUACCGUAAGGCGUUCUGUUAAGUCAGAUAACGAACGAGACCCUCAUCCCUAUUUGCUAAGGUUUCUCCCUUCGGGGCGAGAUCACAGGACUAUAGGGAGACCGCUGGCGAGAAGUCAGAGGAAGGUGAGGGCAACGGUAGGUCAGUAUGCUCCGAAUGCACUGGGCUACACGCGCAAUACAAAGGACGGGACAAUGGGCCGCUGCUCCGAGAGGAAAGAUGGCUAUCCCGAAACCCGUUCGUAGUUCGGAUUGAGGGCUGUAACUCGCCCUCAUGAAGCUGGAUUAGGUAGUAAUCGCGUCUCAAAAAGGCGCGGUGAAUAUGCCCCUGCUCCUUGCACACACCGCCCGUCAAACCAUCUUAGUUGGGGGUGGG
rnacentral:rRNA from 1 species